rnacentral:rRNA from 1 species
UAGUAUUGUUGUACGUAUUCUGAAAGGGAUACUUCUUCGGACAAUAUACAAGGUGCUGCAUGGUUGUCGUCAGCUCGUGCCGUGAGGUGUCGGGUUAAGUCCCAUAACGAGCGCAACCCCUAUCAUUAGUUGCCAUCAGGUCAAGCUGGGGACUCUAAUGAAACUGCCUACGCAAGUAGUGAGGAAGCGGGGAUGACGUCAAAUCAGCACGGCCCUUACGUCCAGGGCUACACACGUGCUACAAUGGCCGAUACAGAGGGCAGCUACCUGGUGACAGGAUGCAAAUCUCCAAAGUCGGUCUCAGUUCGGAUCGGAGUCUGCAACCCGACUCCGUGAAGUUGGAUUCGCUAGUAAUCGCGCAUCAGCCAUGGCGCGGUGAAUACGUUCCCGGGCCUU